rnacentral:rRNA from 1 species
GACGGAGGAUGCAAGCGUUAUCCGGAAUGAUUGGGCGUAAAGCGUCCGCAGGUGGCAGUUCAAGUCUGCUGUCAAAGACCGGGGCUUAACUUCGGAAAGGCAGUGGAAACUGAACAGCUAGAGUAUGGUAGGGGCAGAGGGAAUUCCUGGUGUAGCGGUGAAAUGCGUAGAGAUCAGGAAGAACACCGGUGGCGAAGGCGGCCUGCUGGGCUAUGGCUGACACUGAGGCGCGACAGCGUGGGGAGCAAACAGG